rnacentral:rRNA from 1 species
GACGAACGCUGGCGGCGUGCUUAACACAUGCAAGUCGAACGGAAAGGCCCUGCUUUUGUGGGGUGCUCGAGUGGCGAACGGGUGAGUAACACGUGAGUAACCUGCCCUUGACUUUGGGAUAACUUCAGGAAACUGGGGCUAAUACCGGAUAGGAGCUCCUGCUGCAUGGUGGGGGUUGGAAAGUUUCGGCGGUUGGGGAUGGACUCGCGGCUUAUCAGCUUGUUGGUGGGGUAGUGGCUUACCAAGGCUUUGACGGGUAGCCGGCCUGAGAGGGUGACCGGCCACAUUGGGACUGGAAUGCGGCCCAGACUCCUACGGGAGGCAGCAGUGGGGAAUAUUGCACAAUGGGCGGAAGCCUGAUGCAGCAACGCCGCGUGCGGGAUGACGGCCUUCGGGUUGUAAACCGCUUUCGCCUGUGACGAAGCGUGAGUGACGGUAAUGGGUAAAGAAGCACCGGCUAACUACGUG